rnacentral:rRNA from 1 species
GGGACACGUGGUAUCCUGUCUGAAUAUGGGGGGACCAUCCUCCAAGGCUAAAUACUCCUGACUGACCGAUAGUGAACCAGUACCGUGAGGGAAAGGCGAAAAGAACCCCGGCGAGGGGAGUGAAAAAGAACCUGAAACCGUGUACGUACAAGCAGUGGGAGCACGCUUAGGCGUGUGACUGCGUACCUUUUGUAUAAUGGGUCAGCGACUUAUAUUCUGUAGCAAGGUUAACCGAAUAGGGGAGCCGAAGGGAAACCGAGUCUUAACUGGGCGUUAAGUUGCAGGGUAUAGACCCGAAACCCGGUGAUCUAGCCAUGGGCAGGUUGAAGGUUGGGUAACACUAACUGGAGGACCGAACCGACUAAUGUUGAAAAAUUAGCGGAUGACUUGUGGCUGGGGGUGAAAGGCCAAUCAAACCGGGAGAUAGCUGGUUCUCCCCGAAAGCUAUUUAGGUAGCGCCUCGUGAAUUCAUCUCCGGGGGUAGAGCACUGUUUCGGCAAGGGGGUCAUCCCGACUUACCAACCCGAUGCAAACUGCGAAUACCGGAGAAUGUUAUCACGGGAGACACACGGCGGGUGCUAACGUCCGUCGUGAAGAGGGAAACAACCCAGACCGCCAGCUAAGGUCCCAAAGUCAUGGUUAAGUGGGAAACGAU